UUUGACAUUUCAAAAGCAGUAUAUUUUUUCUUUGAUUUCUCUAAGAUUCUCUCUGGCUUUAUGAAAGAUAUGCAUUUGGGUCAGUUUCUUUCCUUUCAGUUUUCACGCAUGGGUUAAAGACAACAAGCCUUUUUUUUUUUUUUUUCAUUUUAGAUUUUACGGAAGCAACGCUGUAAGUUUAAUUUUUUUUUUGGAGUCUUUUGUUUUGAAUGGACAUGCAGCGUGAGGGGUUCUUUGGUCUUUUAUGGUCAUAGACACAUGCACGUGGGUUGUUUUUAGAACCCUAGCUAACUUUUUGAGCUUUCGUCCCUUCCCAGCCCCCUUUCAUUCGUCCCCCAACGUGAUUCCAACAAGAUCAACUCAUCUCUCACAGCCGAUUUCCCCACCCCUCCCACUUGCAGUGCCGAUUUCACUACGCCCUCCCUCUCACGCAGUCUUCUCUUUAAAUGGAUGUAAAAGUCACAAUUACCUAUACGCAUGCAAAACUCACAAUUAACUACAGCCAUGCACUGACCAACUGAAGGAGGUUCUAUACGCAUGCACUGAUAACUGACAAGAGGGGACAAGAGCAGGCCUUGGUACCAAUGCAACCGGCGUAUUUAGACUGCACAACUAAUGAAUUUAAGACUUUUGCACGGAUGAAAUGCACAAAUUAAAGCAAAGAGUGAAGACAUAAAACACGGAAACGGAAUGGGAUUGCACUGUUCAUUACUGUAGCAGAAGCAUAGAUGCUUUUUAUUAUAGAUAGAUAUAAUAGGUAUACGAGACUUAAUUUGACGCAUCUAAUUAAUUUUUAAAAAUACA